AGAUCGAAAAAGCCGAGUUCCGCAGAUCGGAAACGGGGGAACCAAGUUUUUGGGGUGAAUGGCUGUCCAUGUGGCAGUCUAGGGCGUCCUUUCGACCGAACCCUUCAGCUAACCUCGUAGGCUCACGAGAGGAGCAGU
rnacentral:sRNA from 2 species